rnacentral:rRNA from 1 species
AAUAGAUACCCAGGUAGUCCACGCCGUAAACUAUGAUUACUCGAUGUCGGCGAUAUACUGUCGGUGUCCAAGCGAAAGUGAUAAGUAAUCCACCUGGGGAGUACGAUCGCAAGGUUGAAACUCAAAGGAAUUGACGGGGGCCCGCACAAGCGGUGGAGCAUGUGGUUUAAUUCGAUGAUACGCGAGGAACCUUACCUGGGCUUGAAUGCAUUAUGACCGUCCCGGAAACGGGACUUUCUUCGGACAGAAUGCAAGGUGCUGCAUGGUUGUCGUCAGCUCGUGCUGUGAGGUGUCGGGUUAAGUCCCAUAACGAGCGCAACCCCUAUUCUUAGUUGCCAGCGGGUAAUGCCGGGGACUCUAAGAAACUGCCCGCGUAAGCGGUGAGGAAGGUGGGGAUGACGUCAAAUCAUCACGGCCCUUACGUCCAGGGCUACACACGUGCUACAAUGGUCAGUACAAAGGGCAGCUACCUGGUGACAGGAUGCUAAUCUCGAAAACUGAUCUCAGUUCGGAUCGAAGUCUGC